UAUUGCAGAGGAUAUAGAAUACCUUGCAAUGAUUUUGUAUUUGGCAUUCGUUUCACUUCUUUUCAUUCAGGUUGCAAAUUCUGCAUUUGGACGAGCUGUUUGUGGAACUCGGUCAUACAAUCCUACUUUUGAUAUUUGUUGUAACGGAGUUAUAAAUAGCAAAAGUGGUUCGCGCACAAGUUGCUAUGGAACAAAAGCAAUCAAUCCUACGUUUGAUAUUUGCUGCAAAGGAAUUAUAAAUAGUGAAGGGGGUUCAAGGACAAGUUGCUGUGGAACUAAAGCAAUCAAUCCUACAUUUGACAAUUGUUGCAACGGAGUUAUAAAUAGCAAAGGAGGCUCGCGCACAAGUUGCUGUGAAACUAAA